GCCAGGCGCGGGUCCCGCGUGGAUGCGGAAGCCGGUCCCGGUGAGGUCGGUGCCUGCGAGGGCACAGUCGGGGCGCUGGAAGCCAAAGCCGCCGGCAGAGGGCGCCCCGGGACUGCCGAGCGCGUGGCGCCGGGGUUGGGGCGCUCGCCCGGGGCCGGGCACCGGCCGCAGUCCGGCGUUGACCGCAGCCGUGGACGCUCCCGCUACCCACGCGGAGCGCCAAGUGAGCGCCUUCGGGGCGCAGCGGGGCGCACCGGCCAGGCGCGCGGCUGCUCGGAGCCCUCCUGGUGAGCGGUGAGUAUGCGCGCCCGCGGGGCACGUCGCACCCUAGUUGGGGGCACUUGGAGGCAGCGCAGAUCCGGCCGGGGCGGGCGUGGGAGAGUGGGCAAGGUCCCUUUUCUGUUUGGUGUGUGGGAAGGGCUUGGGGUGGAUGGACCCCAGGAGCGCGCCGGAUGAUGAGCAGAGCUUUGCUUUCAGGCGGCUCGGGCUCACUUGAGGUUCUAACAUCGGAUUUUUUCUCGCGGGCCCCUGUCGCGUGCUGCCCCGGGGCCCGGGGGCCCGGGGUUUGGCGGGGGUAAGCCAGCGCGGGCGAGUGCUCACCUGGGCGUCCCCCACUCCUUUCGCCCGCGACACCAUCCAGGGGAACCACGUGCGGCUGUCGCUCGCAACUCUGCCUGUCAAGCGAAGCCCGCCUCCAGGGCAGGGGAGGGGACGCGGGGGCGGGGUGGGCUGUGCCCCGCGGGAACCGGGCUGGCCCGUGCGCCUGCCGGUGCCAGCUCGGCUCUCUCUGCCUGGUGUUCCCACGGGGUCCUGGGAGGCAGCGGGCAGCCCCGCAGGGAGGCGCAGGACUCUUCCCCGAAGGACUAGAGGCCUCUCGAGGGGCGCCCGGGCACUUGGUUCCAGAAGAAGGGAAGCAAAGGAAAGAAGCGGCCCCAGUGACUGGUCCUGAGAGCGCCCUCUCCCCAGGAUGCGCCGAGCGCCCGGGAGCCCUUUUCCCAGGUUUCCUCCGCUUUGAACCAUCUCUGGCCAUUCCAGGCAGUGGGGCAGCGCCAGCUCUCUGUGGAAUUGCCCCAGGAUCCUUCCCCCAAACCCGCCCCGGUGAUUUGUGCGCAUCGGGAGCGGACCCCGGGCUGCGCGCGCCGGGCAGCACUCAGGCGCGCCUCCUGGGCGUUGCGCAGCCGCGGCGCCUCGCGAAGCCGGCUCCCCGAGCCCCCGGGGCUUUGAGAGAGACCACCCCAAGGCAAGGGGAGCUGCGGCGGCGGAGCCAGGGGCUUGGAGGAGCAAGGCAUGUAUUUUCAGCUGCGCCUCAGAAGAGGAGAAUUCUGCCAUCACCAGAGAGGCAACAGCCCUGAAGUGUGACUACAGCUGACUAGCUUGGCAGAGGCCUGGGAGUCUCUGGGUCGAUAGCUUAGAAUAUGCUAAAAAGUCAGUGCUUUCCACGGGGAAUUGAAGGGCCAGCUGGUCCCCGUGACAGUGACCUGGAGCAAAGGAGUCAGAAGACAGUCGCAGAGAGCAAGAGGGACCUUCCAAGGGGCCGACUUGGACUGCGGAGGGCAGGCUCCUGCCACAGAAUUGUCGCAGCCCUCUGAUGGAAUGCUGGUGAGCUCUUCCACCCAGGGGAGCAAGUGGGACUUCCAGGGGGCUGCCUGGCUAACCAGGACUCCUCCAGGUCUGACUGACCCCUGAUCCCUGCUUAGGAACUUGACAGGUGUCCAAGCACCUU
rnacentral:lncRNA from 1 species